GAUGAACGCUAGCGGCAGGCUUAAUACAUGCAAGUCGAGGGGCAGCAUGAAUGUAGCAAUACAUUUGAUGGCGACCGGCAAACGGGUGCGGAACACGUACACAACCUUCCUAUAAGUGGGGAAUAGCCCAGAGAAAUUUGGAUUAAUACCCCGUAACAUAAUGAUGUGGCAUCACAUUAUUAUUAUAGCUACGGCGCUUAUUGAUGGGUGUGCGGCUGAUUAGAUAGUUGGCGGGGUAACGGCCCACCAAGUCUACGAUCAGUAGCUGAUGUGAGAGCAUGAUCAGCCACACGGGCACUGAGACACGGGCCCGACUCCUACGGGAGGCAGCAGUAAGGAAUAUUGGUCAAUGGACGCAAGUCUGAACCAGCCAUGCCGCGUGAAGGAUUAAGGUCCUCUGGAUUGUAAACUUCUUUUAUCUGGGACGAAAAAAGGCUAUUCUUAGUCACUUGACGGUACCAGAUGAAUAAGCACCGGCUAACUCCGUGCCAGCCGCCGCGGUAA
rnacentral:rRNA from 1 species